rnacentral:rRNA from 1 species
AGUGAACGCUGACGGUAGGCCUAACACAUGCAAGUCGAACGGCAGCACAGGAGAGCUUGCUCUCUGGGUGGCGAGUGGCGGACGGGUGAGGAAUACAUCGGAAUCUACUUUCUCGUGGGGGAUAACGUAGGGAAACUUACGCUAAUACCGCAUACGACCUACGGUUGAAAGCAGGGGAUCUUCGGACCUUGCGCGAUUGAAUGAGCCGAUGUCGGAUUAGCUAGUUGGCGGGGUAAAGGCCCACCAAGGCGACGGUCCGUAGCUGGUCUGAGAGGAUGAUCAGCCACACUGGAACUGAGACACGGUCCAGACUCCUACGGGAGGCAGCAGUGGGGAAUAUUGGACAAUGGGCGCAAGCCAGAUCCAGCCAUACCGCGCGGGUGAAGAAGGCCUUCGGGUUGUAAAGCCCUUUUGUUGGGAAAGAAAUCCAUCUGGUUAAUACCCGGGUGGGAUGACGGUACCCAAAGAAUAAGCACCGGCUAACUUCGUGCCAGCAGCCGCCGUAA